UUAAACGGCCGCGGUAUCCUAACCGUGCAAAGGUAGCAUAAUCACUUGUCCCCUAAAUAGGGACUAGAAUGAACGGUUAAAUGAGGGCUUCACUGUCUCUUACAUUCGACCAAUAAACCUGAUCUUUCAGUCCAAAAGCUGAAAUAAACCCAUAAGACGAGAAGACCCUGUGGAGCUUCCAAACCAAGCCCACCUCCCUAUGUCCCCUUGGUUUUUAGUUGGGGCGACUUUGGAGCACAAACAACCCUCCAACUACGGACCUUCCCCUCUAGAUGUACAUAUCAACAAAAAUUUUCCCCGACCCAGUAGCUAAAUUGUCUAUCUGACCAAUGGACCAAGUUACCCCAGGGAUAACAGCGCCAUCCUCUUCUAGAGUCCCUAUCGACAAGAGGGUUUACGACCUCGAUGUUGGAUCAGGACACCCCUAUAGUGCAGCCGCUAUAAAAGGUUCGUUUGUUCAACGAUUAAAGUCCUACGUGAUCU
rnacentral:rRNA from 1 species